UGGGGAAUAUUGCACAAUGGGCGCAAGCCUGAUGCAGCCAUGCCGCGUGUGUGAAGAAGGCCUUCGGGUUGUAAAGCACUUUCAGCGAGGAGGAAGGUGGUGAGCUUAAUACGCUCAUCAAUUGACGUUACUCGCAGAAGAAGCACCGGCUAACUCCGUGCCAGCAGCCGCGGUAAUACGGAGGGUGCAAGCGUUAAUCGGAAUUACUGGGCGUAAAGCGCACGCAGGCGGUUUGUUAAGUCAGAUGUGAAAUCCCCGGGCUCAACCUGGGAACUGCAUUUGAAACUGGCAAGCUAGAGUCUCGUAGAGGGGGGUAGAAUUCCAGGUGUAGCGGUGAAAUGCGUAGAGAUCUGGAGGAAUACCGGUGGCGAAGGCGGCCCCCCUGGACGAAGACUGACGCUCAGGUGCGAAAGGCGUGGGGGCAGCAAACAGGAUUAGAUACCCCUGGUAGUCCACGCUGUAAAACGAUGUCGAUUUUGGAGGUUGUGCCCCUUGAGGCGUGGCUUCCGGAGCUAACGCGUU
rnacentral:rRNA from 1 species